UCAGUUCUACUUUCGCUCCCAAAGGGAAUACACAGCAUUAAAAAUUAUUAACCAGUUCACCCAACAUCAAAAAAGUUUUCAAAACACCUUCGAGAACGGGCUGUAUAUUACACUCAGCAACAGGAACGAAAAUAUACUCAGCAAAAGAAGUCCGAAUCCAUGAUAGUGUGAUGUCAAGGCGCAUAAGUUGUGCAUAUGGUGAAAAAUACAAUUGACAUUCAUAAACAAGUUUAUGAUUUGUGAAACACAUUCAGAGCACCCUGUAUACAAUGAGAAGCAAUUUAAAAGUGGUUCAAAACUGCGGCACGCCCACACUUUUGAACAAUUUUUAAAUUUUCCAAUUUUUUUCAAUAAUAUCUAUCAAUAUCCCAGAUUGAUGCUUCCCUCUUUUUUCAUGUCGAUACAGGGUGCUGUAUCUGUUUCAUAAGUCAUACAUUUUUUUUAUGAGUGCAAAAAUUAGUUUUAAUACUAUGUACACCUUACAACGCCGUGGCAUCACAAUAUUAUGGAUACGUACUUAUCUUUUGCCGACCCGUCCUUGGAAGGUGUUUAAAAACUAUUUUGAUGUUGGGUACACUGUUAAAUAUUUUUGAUGACAUUUUUUUUUGGGUGUGUGAAAGUUGCAGAGCCGAGAAAUAAAUUUGUGCAACUGAUCUUUGCCGAGCUUAAAGGUGCGUGCAUAAAAUCCGACAACUGCAUUUUAUGCAUUGUGGCCCGAUAUUUGGGACACAUAUACUAGAUAGCUCAUAGCUGCGCCAGGAGGAAUUAUGAGAUGUUCGCUGCUGCUAAGCCUGAAUUCGUUCUAUCCGUUUCUUUUCUAAUUAAAAUCCGGUGGAGUUCCCGUAUUCUACAAUUUUAUACAAGCGGAGUCUAAGCAAAUUCAGGUCACGGAAAGAAGUACCAGCGAAGGUAGCAAGGUGACCGUCUGGUGUCGGCCAGAGAGACCCCCCAAGUGUUCAGUAAAUACUCAUUCAGCGGAUUGAACCCUAGGAGCACAUGAAAUCGGCUGCGCAACUUUCUUCUGUGGCCGGCUAUACAGUUGCGGAGAAUUUUCUUGGAGUUGGCAGUGAUCGGUGGUUCAAAUGACCCUUUAAAACAAAUUUCAAUAAUGUGCCUUGUUACUUGUUUUCUCCAAUCGACUUUGACCUACAUCGCAGGGCAAGAGUUACUUGCAUAAGCCUUCUAUGAUUUUUAAAUGUGAACUUUUGCUGAAGCCAAGAAUAAUGAGAACUGUCAUUGAAAUUAUA